CCUGUAAGGGGAGUGAAAUAGAACCUGAAACCGUGUACGUACAAGCAGUGGGAGCACCUUCGUGGUGUGACUGCGUACCUUUUGUAUAAUGGGUCAGCGACUUACAUUCAGUGGCGAGGUUAACCGAAUAGGGGAGCCGUAGAGAAAUCGAGUCCGAACAGGGCGACAGUCGCUGGGUGUAGACCCGAAACCAGGUGAUCUACCCAUGGCCAGGAUGAAGGUGCGGUAACACGCCCUGGAGGUCCGAACCCACUAAUGUUGAAAAAUUAGGGGAUGAGCUGUGGGUAGGGGUGAAAGGCUAAACAAA
rnacentral:rRNA from 1 species